AUGUUAAUGGAUGACUCAGCUU
rnacentral:piRNA from 1 species